rnacentral:rRNA from 1 species
CAGCAGCCGCGGUAAUACCGAGGGUGCGAGCGUUAAUCGGAUUUACUGGGCGUAAAGCGUGCGUAGGCGGCUAAUUGAGUCGGAUGUGAAAUCCCCGAGCUUAACUUGGGAAUUGCAUUCGAUACUGGUUAGCUAGAGUGUGGGAGAGGAUGGUAGAAUUCCAGGUGUAGCGGUGAAAUGCGUAGAGAUCUGGAGGAAUACCGAUGGCGAAGGCAGCCAUCUGGCCUAACACUGACGCUGAGGUACGAAAGCAUGGGGAGCAAACAGGAUUAGAUACCCCGGUAGUCCCUGUCUCUUAUAC